rnacentral:misc_RNA from 1 species
UAAUAAGUGUUUUAUGGCACUUUUUAAAUCCAUAUCCACCUUGUGUGCAAUGUCAGUCGAUCUUCUUCAUGGAGAUCGACCAAAACAUCACCUUUAUUUUUUAACUCUUUGUCUGAAAAAUAUUAUGAAUAAACAAUUCAAAAUA